rnacentral:snoRNA from 1 species
UGCUUCUUUGUGUUUUUGUUCAACAGGUGGACAAAGGCAUGGAAGAAGAAUGCAAACAUAAACCCUCAUUUGCCAUCCAGAACUCAUUGUUGAGUAUGAGUUUUGGUACAUAUAUGAAGGAAUAUG